UGGCUGCACCAAUUUACAUUCCCAGCAAAAGUGCACGAGUGUUCCUUUUUCUCCACAUCCUCAGCAACACGUCUUUUUGAUAACGGCCAUCCUAACAGCCUUUCUGAAGACCUUGAUUUGUAUUUUAAGCAGUAACUGCACUCUAGCAAGCAGCUAGUUGUCAGCGUUAUCUUCAUUUCUGCAAGACAGACCAGAUUCUUGGAGACAUAAGUGUCUUACCUCCUGGCCAGACCUGGCCACUUAGCCUGCGGAAGCGUCGGGACUCCUGACCGGCUAUGUGGACACAGAUGGUUCUAUUUGGGAUCCGAGACACAAAAAUUGUAAGUGCCGGAUGUAGGACAAUGUUCGUGGCUACUUUACUGAGCUAACGAUUGCUCAGUCCCAUAUACUGUUACAGAGCAACA
rnacentral:lncRNA from 1 species